rnacentral:lncRNA from 1 species
GGCAGAUGUUCUGCUAAUGCAGUGAAAUUUGAAACUGACGUGCAGAAUGUUAACAUUAUCAUGUUUGUCAUAAGUGUUAGUUUUUAAAGUCAUUUAUCACUAUCGAGAAAAAGAUCAAGAAAUAAGUUUUGUUAGUGUACUUAAACUGAAAUUAACUAGGAAUGAUGAGGAGCAAUCACUCACUUAAAUGAGGGCCAUGAGUAAUAG